rnacentral:rRNA from 1 species
AGUGAACGCUGGCGGUAGGCCUAACACAUGCAAGUCGAACGAGUGGCGGACGGGUGAGGAAUACCUCGGAAUCUACUCUGUCGUGGGGGAUAACGUAGGGAAACUUACGCUAAUACCGCAUACGAUUAGAUGAGCCGAUGUCGGAUUAGCUAGUUGGCGGGGUAAAGGCCCACCAAGGCGACGAUCCCUAGCUGGUCUGAGAGGAUGACCAGCCACACGGGAACGGAGACACGGUCCAGACUCCUACGGGAGGCAGCAGUGGGGAAUAUUGGACAAUGGGCGCAAGCCUGAUCCAGCCAUACCGCGUGGGUGAAGAAGGCCUUCGGGUUGUAAAGCCCUUUCGGCGGGAAAGCGGUACCCAAAGAAUAAGCACCGGCUAACUUCGUGCCAGCAGCCGCGGUAAUUC